CACAUGAAGUUAGCCUAUACUACGUGCCAAGCGAGUUGUGAUAUUCGAUAGAAGUCCUCUAAUCGCCUUGUUGAACCUUUCCCUGUCACGUGUUUUAACAAGAUUAAACCUUCGUUUUCAGUUUCCACGGCAACUAUAAUGUCAAUCGUUAAAAAGCUUGAGAAAAUUAUUUCAUUUGAUUUUUACAGAUGAGGGAACACGUUUGUUCCCAUUGACGCUGUCGGGUAUGUCAGCAGCAAGAGGAGGUUGAUCUAAAGGUUAAAGGACGUGUACUGAAUGGGGCUUGCUGACUCUGAACACAGAAACAAUGUAAGAGGGAGGACUGGCAAACUUCCUGAAGUAGCUCAUGUCUGAUGAAGUGUUUGAUGAUGUGGCAUACAAAGCCUGCAACUAUAAUCAUCUGCUCUCAACAAAUGAAUUCCUGGAUACAGAAACAGUGCUCUGUCAGGAUGGAGCCUCCAACUGCAGACUCUUCUCAGGGCGGCUAAUUGAUGGAGUGAUUCAGGCAGAGAAUCUAGCUCACAACGUAAUGGCCACAUGGCGGCGACGUGACCACUUGAGAGGUUGAAGCUAGCUGAAGGACCGCCUUGACUAUGGGACGACCAGACCAGCCACUGAAGACAGGCGCUAUACCACCUGCAGAUGGACUAGUCGUGCAGACUGAAGUCGCCAGGCCAAGAAGGAUCAACGGACGGAGCCGCAAGCCAGGACCUGAAAGAUAAAGGAAGAAGUGACGCCAUUGAGGAAACGAACCAAAUUGUCAGGAUGUUGGCCAGCGCAGCAAUAGUCACAUUCCUUAGUUUCAGAAGAAAGUGAGCAAGCCGUCUCUGUGUCAGCCAUGUUAAGGGUUAAUUAGGAAACAUUAAGCAUAGGGUAGUUUAGGUCAGGAGACAGUGUUAGCGAGACCUCUAAAACGUUUACUUGUUAUCCCGUGGUAUUCCUUUGUCAAGCCACCUAACCUUCGGAAGAGACAGGAGAGAGUGUCAUGUAUCGGAUAGGAAGUGUUUGCAAGGGUUUUUCUCCCGAAUGAGACUGGAGUAGAUGGUGACAUUAUACCAAAUAGGACAGACAGGGAGGGUGAAAUGGUAGAACCCGAACUUCCACUGGUUCGGCGGACUAGUUCACCCCCUAUGGGCAACUGCGUAACACGUGGUGGCUGGCGGUGGUGUGGUCCACCCUACUGCAUCACAUCACGUGGUGGCAGGCAACGGGAUAAUACCCCGGCCGCCCACUCACCCCCGACGGAACUUCUCUGCUUUGGAGUGGAGGUAAAGUUCCGCGCAUUCUCAACUCCGGCUGUACACUGAAGCCAUUGGUCAGCAAUGUCCUGGCCGCUUUUCACAGUCAUUUAGAAAUAUAGUCUUAGCAGCUAACUGGUAAAUUGGGGCAGUUCGGUUCCCAUUAGUUUGUGUAAUGAUACAACAGAGCAGGAGGCUAUUGGAGUUUUGAUGCGAAUGUCAUUAUCAGUGAUACUGAUGCGAUGUCGUAUUCUUCCGCAAGUUACAGCGCCAAACUACCCGGUCGAUUUGACUCAUACUCGGUAUGGAGGACCAAUACUAAUUUUUUUAGAAAAUUUAAUGUUAAUUUCGUUUUUAUUGCUUGAAAGUCACUUUACAUGCGGACCUGAAGAUAUCUUCUGCAUUUGCUGACAGAGUUUGAUUAAACUUUAUAUACUGCAUUUAUAUCAGGCGAGUAUUAUCACAGAUGAAAUAGUGUUAACAGUCUCACUAAAUUUAAUUAGUUUUAAGGGACUAACUGGACAUUAAAGUGAUUAUUUGAAUCCUUUUGCUGAUUCUGAUAAGGCUUUAUACUCGGCGCUUUAGGCCUACAUUAUAGCCUCCGCGUAUCAUCAUUUGCUUAGAGUUUUUGAUCCACUUUACCCUAGAAACAAAUUGAACAUGCUUUGUUUUCGACUGAAACGGGUGUCCACCCACCACCCGUUGAUUCCGCAGCCAACCUUGUCUGCUUGUGGUGAUUCCACGGCUGGCCGAUAGUAUAUACACGCGCGUAUUGUUCACAGAUGGCAUUUCUACAGCUACCGAGGCACUACCAUACACGCCGAAAGUGAUGAGUAAGCAGUGGUAUGACAAAAGUAGCAUGCGUGUGGUAAAACUUAGCGGAAGAUGAUGUUGCACUGAAAUGGUAGUAGAAUGAUCAAGGCCAUUUGUUCAAAGCUCGUAGCCUGGUCUGCAUUCUUAUGGGUGAAAUAAAAAAUCCAGCUUCUGCGGCUCGCCAGCCCAGUGUUGAAAUAACGAGAAAAGUUGAUUGUCUAGUGGAAGCGACAGUGGUGCCAAGCAUCGCAGUGAUUUUGACAUGGUAGGGGAGCGGAAGGAAGAACAACAGUAUUACGACGAAGAGAAAAUUUACAGCCAGAUUCUGAGACCAUCGGCCAUUGGGCUCCACAGGCUCUGCCUCGUUUGCAUCGGCACGGGGUGUACAAACAUGUCAUGCAUGAAGCAGACGAUGUUAGACGGCACUGCACAUUUGUGCGUCGCGAUGAACAGGGACUGCGUAUUCUAACCAUGCGUUACACUGCAAGACACCUCUCCUGCUCAAAGUGACAGCUGACACACGGAGGCACUGUCAACAAAUACGUACAUUUCGGCGAUCCCGAUGAUGAAGGCAGCAUGAACCUCGAAAACGUCGGUAAACUAAUACCAGACUACACAGCGCUACAAACCGGAAAAUUCAUAUCUUUGCCUUCUUGCUUUCUUUUCAGAAUUUUACAGGCUUGGCUUCAGUGAUUAUUUUCUUCAAACCGAGAGAGAAAUUAAUAUUUCGUUCAGAUGUCAUGUUGAAUGAAUACUGAAUAAAGGAGUUGCCUAACAGAUGCUCAA